GACGAGUCCAUUUCCCAUCUCUAUACAGCAGCCAACAUGGCCCAAAGUGGUAAGUAACUUUUCGUGAUUUGUUGCAUUCUUUUGAAGUUUUACUAACAUUGUGCCAGUUUUAUACUUUCAGGGACUGGGAAGAGGAACAACGAUGGAGGAGCAAGGUCGACCAACAGCAAAAGACAGGAUGACGAGUCCAUUUCCCAUCUCUAUGCAGCAACCAAUAUGGCUCAAGGUUGUAAAAGAAAUUUGAGGCUGACCAGGAUCCUGAAGUGAAGAGCAGUCCCUCUCCCAUUUAACAGCUUUCAUGAGCAGAAAGUGCGGAAGGAGAGAUAGCCACCUCUGAAGGUCAGUCUGGAGUGUUUUCUGCUGCAUUCAGAAAGUA